AUGGACCGCGGGCGCCUUGUCGCCGUUGUGCUAGCAGGCAUCCUGCACUCGGCCCUCGUCGCCGCCGAGGACCGGCACGUUUUCCUGAACUGGGAGGUGUCCUACUCCGUGCGAUCCCCGCUGGGCGUCUCCAAGAGGGUGAUCGCCAUCAACGGCCGGCUCCCCGGGCCGCUGCUCAACUUCACCACCAACGACGUCGCCCACGUCAACGUCGUCAACACCUUGGACGAGCCUUUCCUCCUCACAUGGAACGGUCUCCAGUUGAGGAGAAACUCGUGGAACGACGGCGUGGCGGGCACGAACUGCGCGAUCCAGCCCGGGGAGAACUGGACCUACGUGUUCCAGGCCAAGGACGAGAUUGGCAGCUUCUUCUACCGGCCCUCGCUGGGGCUGCACGCCGCUGCCGGCGGCCACGGCCCCAUCCGCGUCAACAACCGCCCCGUCAUCGACGUCCCGUUCCCCCAGCCCGACGGCGAGUUCGACGUCCUCAUAGGGGACUGGUACAACAUGGACGCAAAGGAGAUGAAAGAGCGCCUGGACAGAGGCCGCGGACUGCCUCCGCCGGACGGCAUCUUGAUCAACGGCUUGGGCCCGUACGAGGCGGAGGUGACGUUCAAGGCAGGGCGCACGUACCGGCUUCGCGUGUCGAACGUGGGCACGAGGACGUCGCUCAACUUCCGGCUCCAGGGCCACAAGCUGCUGCUGGUGGAGGCGGAGGGCACCUACACCCUGCAGAAGCACUACGCGUCGCUGGACGUCCACCCCGGCCAAUCCGUCUCGGUCCUCGUGGCGGCCGACCAGGCGCCCAAGGCGUAUUACAUGGUCGUCAGCUCCCUCUUCGUCCUCCCGGAGAUCUUCGGCGUCGCCACCGUCCUAUACGCCGGCUCCGGCGAGCAGCCGCCUUCCGGCGACGCGCCGCUGGACGACCGGUCCUCGCACACCAACUACAACCGUUCCAUGGAGCAGGCCAUGUCCAUAAGGAUGAACCUGACCUCCGGCGCGGCGCGGCCCAACCCGCAGGGCUCCUUCCACUACGGGGAGAUCAACGUCACCCGCACCCUGCUCCUCCGGAACGACGAGUCCGACAUCGGCGGCCGGCGGAGGUGCACGGUGAACGGCGUGGCCUUCGCCAACGCGGGCACACCACUGAAGCUGGCCGACUACUUCAGGAUCGCCGGCGUCUUCAAGGUCGUCUCCGGCAGGCCGGAGAGGAGGAACGCGUCCCUCGGCACCACGGUCAUCGACGCCUCCUACAGGGAUUACGUCCAGAUCGUGUUCGAGAACAGGCUGCCGUCCAUGCAGACAUGGCACCUCGACGGCCACAGUUUCUUCGUCGUCGGAUUCGAAAUGACGAUGUAA
rnacentral:rRNA from 1 species